GACGAACGCUGGCGGCGUGCUUAACACAUGCAAGUCGAACGGAAAGGCCCUGCUUUCGUGGGGUGCUCGAGUGGCGAACGGGUGAGUAACACGUGAGUAACCUGCCCUUGACUUUGGGAUAACUUCAGGAAACUGGGGCUAAUACCGUAUAGGAGCUCCUGCUGCAUGGUGGGGGUUGGAAAGUUUCGGCGGGAGGGGAUGGACUCGCGGCUUAUCAGCUUGUUGGUGGGGUAGUGGUUUGCCAAGGCUUUGACGGGUAGCCGGCAUGAGAGGGGGAACGGCCACAAGGGGACUAAGAGACGGACCAGAGUCGUACGGGAGGCAGCAGGGGGGAAUAUUGCACAAUGGGCGCAAGCCUGAUGAAGAGACGCCGCGUGCGGAAUGACGGCCUUCGGGUAGUAAACAGCUUUAGCCUGUUACGCAGCGGGAGUGACGGUAAUCGGUAAAGAAGCACCGGCUAACUACGUG
rnacentral:rRNA from 1 species